rnacentral:sRNA from 1 species
AGAAGAAUUCAACAAU